rnacentral:rRNA from 1 species
GCGUAGGCGGUCUUUCAAGUCAGGAGUGAAAGGCUACGGCUCAACCGUAGUAAGCUCUUGAAACUGGGAGACUUGAGUGCAGGAGAGGAGAGUGGAAUUCCUAGUGUAGCGGUGAAAUGCGUAGAUAUUAGGAGGAACACCAGUUGCGAAGGCGGCUCGCUGGACUGUAACUGACGCUGAGGCACGAAAGCGUGGGGAGCAAACAGGAUUAGAUACCCUGGUAGUCCACGCUGUAAACGAUGAGUACUAGGUGUCGGGGGUUACCCCCUUCGGUGCCGCAGCUAACGCAUUAAGUACUCCGCCUGGGAAGUACGCUCGCAAGAGUGAAACUCAAAG